rnacentral:rRNA from 1 species
UACCAGCAGCUCAAGUGGUGAUCGUUUUUAUUGGGCCUAAAGCGUCCGUAGCCGGUCUGGUAAACCCUUGGGUAAAUCGGGCAGCUUAACUGUUCGACUUCUGAGGAGACUGCUAGACUUGGGACCGGGAGAGGUCAGAGGUACUCCUAGGGUAGGGGUGAAAUCCUGUAAUCCUAGGAGGACCACCAGUGGCGAAGGCGUCUGACUAGAACGGGUCCGACGGUAAGGGACGAAGCCCUGGGUCACGAACCGGAUUAGAUACCCUCGUA